rnacentral:lncRNA from 1 species
GAAUAAUUCUUGGGUUCACCCCUAGGGGUGAACCUAUCUUAUUCACCCCCUCUAAGCUAACCAAUCAAAAUUAGCCAUGUCAUCUAAUUAAAUAAAUUAAAAUAAUUUAUCUUAUUAAUUACAAACUUUAAAUUCUAACCACUAUAUUAUUAACAUAAACUUAAAUAUAGUUUAGUUUAUUUAUAAAAUCUAAACCCUAAAGUACUAAUUUAUGAACCCAAACCAAAAUAUAAACUUGUUUAAUUACAAAAUCUAAACCCUAACCACUAUUUUGUCAACCCAAANNN